rnacentral:rRNA from 1 species
CGGAAAUUCAGACGCGGAGGAGACAUUAUAGAGUUUUUUAAACUCCCAACCCAUGUGAACUUACCAUUGUUGCCUCGGCAGAAGCUACCUGGUUACCUUACCUUGGAACGGCCUACCCUGUAGCGCCUUACCCUGGAACGGCCUACCCUGUAACGGCUGCCGGUGGACUACCAAACUCUUGUUAUUAUAUUGUAAUCUGAGCGUCUUAUUUUAAUAAGUCAAAACUUUCAACAACGGAUCUCUUGGUUCUGGCAUCGAUGAAGAACGCAGCGAAAUGCGAUAAGUAAUGUGAAUUGCAGAAUUCAGUGAAUCAUCGAAUCUUUGAACGCACAUUGCGCCCAUUAGUAUUCUAGUGGGCAUGCCUGUUCGAGCGUCAUUUCAACCCUUAAGCCUAGCUUAGUGUUGGGAGCCUACUGCUUUUGCUAGCGGUAGCUCCUGAAAUACAACGGCGGAUCUGCGAUAUCCUCUGAGCGUAGUAAUUUUUAUCUCGCUUUUGACUGGAGUUGCAGCGUCUUUAGCCGCUAAACCCCCCAAUUUUUAAUGGUUGACCUCGGAUCAGGUAGGAAUACCCGCUGAACAUAAGCAUAUCAUAAACGGGGGAGAGAAAAA